rnacentral:rRNA from 1 species
CCUACGGGAGGCAGCAGUAGGGAAUCUUCCGCAAUGGACGAAAGUCUGACGGAGCAACGCCGCGUGAACGAAGAAGGCCUUCGGGUCGUAAAGUUCUGUUGUUAGGGAAGAACAAGUACCAGAGUAACUGCUGGUACCUUGACGGUACCUAACCAGAAAGCCACGGCUAACUACGUGCCAGCAGCCGCGGUAAUACGUAGGUGGCAAGCGUUGUCCGGAAUUAUUGGGCGUAAAGCGCGCGCAGGUGGUUCCUUAAGUCUGAUGUGAAAGCCCACGGCUCAACCGUGGAGGGUCAUUGGAAACUGGGGAACUUGAGUGCAGAAGAGGAAAGUGGAAUUCCAAGUGUAGCGGUGAAAUGCGUAGAGAUUUGGAGGAACACCAGUGGCGAAGGCGACUUUCUGGUCUGUAACUGACACUGAGGCGCGAAAGCGUGGGGAGCAAACAGGAUUAGAUACCCUGGUAGUCCACGCCGUAAACGAUGAGUGCUAAGUGUUAGAGGGUUUCCGCCCUUUAGUGCUGCAGCUAACGCAUUAAGCACUCCGCCUGGGGAUACGGCCGCAAGGCUGAACUUAAUGAAUUGACGGCUGAGAGNGCGAGCGACGACGAGGGAGAG